UUACUGAACAGUGAGACUAGCAACGACCCAGUUACUAGCGGGAGCUGCUCCUCUCUUCUCUAACUCGGAAAGUAAUAUGAGAAGCAUCUGAAACCCUAAACUUUUUAUAUCUGAUCAAUUAUCUCUCUCCCUCGCUACUUAUUAUUAAUAAUGAUGGCAUCUCUGCUUCACUUCUCCACAGCAUCCACUUCUUCACUCCCUUCUUUUCUUCGCUCAAGUUUCUUCUCCAAAGAGCCUCGCUUCCCUCUCCGACAAGGCGUCAGGUGUAAUCUGGUGGAGCCGCUCAAGUUUGACAACGGCAAGCCUUGCAUCCCGCUCCUUAGUCCUAGCGAACAAUCAUUCCCAAGUUUUUUAGCUUCUACAGCCCACUUGGAUAACAGUAUUACUAACAGACAUGACACCAGGCUCCGCAUUUUCUCCGGCACUGCCAAUCCUGCACUCUCUCAGGAAAUCGCAUGCUACAUGGGUUUGGAGCUUGGAAAGAUUAAAAUAAAGCGUUUUGCUGAUGGUGAGAUUUAUGUCCAAUUGCAAGAAAGUGUCAGAGGAUGUGAUGUUUUCCUUGUGCAACCGACAUGUCCUCCUGCAAAUGAGAAUCUUAUGGAGCUUUUGAUAAUGAUUGAUGCUUGUCGGAGAGCUUCCGCCAAAAAUAUUACUGCAGUGAUUCCAUAUUUUGGGUAUGCCAGAGCUGAUAGGAAGACUCAAGGGCGUGAAUCCAUUGCUGCCAAACUUGUAGCAAAUUUGAUUACAGAAGCAGGUGCAAACCGUGUUCUUGCUUGUGAUCUUCAUUCUGGGCAGUCAAUGGGGUAUUUUGAUAUUCCCGUGGAUCAUGUCUAUGGUCAGCCUGUGAUACUUGAUUACCUUGCAAGCAAGACUAUUUGUUCUGAUGACUUGGUGGUGGUCUCCCCUGAUGUUGGUGGCGUAGCGAGAGCACGUUCUUUUGCCAAGAAAUUAUCAGAUGCACCUCUAGCCAUUGUGGAUAAAAGGCGUCAUGGGCACAAUGUUGCGGAGGUGAUGAAUUUGAUAGGGGAUGUGAAGGGAAAGGUUGCAGUCAUGGUGGAUGACAUGAUUGACACAGCUGGGACUAUUACUAAAGGUGCAGCUUUAUUGCAUCAAGAGGGAGCAAGAGAGGUCUAUGCAUGCAGUACACAUGCUGUUUUCAGGUAUCUGGAUCCCUUUGGAAUAAUAGUCCAUUUUGUUUUGUGAAAAUUUGGUAUCAGAAGGUCUGGUGGAGUAGCCCUGGCCACCAUCUGGUUCCGGGCCAGAACAUUUGGUUCUGGUCCAUGGAAUCGAGGGCUUAGGACUGGACUGCAGGGUCCCUUUUAGAUCUCCAGUUUGAGACAAUUUAAUGGUUGAAAUUAAUUAUUUAUUUUUUUCUUUUUAUAAAGAAAAAUGCCAGUUUGAACCGGACAGGCCUGGUUGUGGUUAGGACCCAUGGAACUCCUCUCUGGUUCUGGUCCCGGGUUAGAUCAGGCUGGUGCAGAUCUACAGUGGAGUGUGUUAACUGUCAACUGGAGCAAGCAACAACAGAUGUUUUACCUUUUAUAUCUAUGUAUAGGUUCAAACACUUUUGGAGAUAGGUUAAGAAAUCAGUAUUUAGACCCAUUGAUGGUUUGGAAUUCAUAUGAUGAGUUGGAUCCUAACAGGCUAACAUUGGUAGGCAAAAUCAGUCUGCUAUCUUUGUGCGGUUUCACUUCACUCAACUUCCAAACUAAGUCAAAGUUACGUAGAUCGGAAGUUUGACUGUGACCAUCAGUAUACCAUCACUAAUUGUAGCUGAAGUACUUAAAAAUAAUCUUUUGGCUGAACACUGAUACUGUCCCUGUUUUAUCUUGAACAACAUUUAAAGCAAGAUCAUCCAUGCAUCUGAUUGUUGUUUAAAUGAAUUUCACUACUACUUUGUGUUUGAAUUUGCAGUCCUCCUGCUAUAGAGAGAUUAUCAAGUGGUCUUUUUCAAGAGGUGAUCAUAACCAACACAAUACCAGUGUUGGAGCAGAACUAUUUUCCUCAGCUCACCAUCUUGUCAGUAGCAAACCUCCUGGGCGAGACCGUAUGGCGUGUUCAUGAUGACUGCUCUGUGAGUAGCAUCUUUCAAUAGAAUUGGAGUAAUAUGGUAUUCAACUUAAUGACGUUGAACCAAAUAUCCAAAUUACAAGAAUAAAAUUAAUUUAUUUAUUUUUGCACACAAGAACAUUGAUGUGUUGUGGUUUCCUCCCCUUUUUCCUUUCCCUUAGCAAUGCAUACACGAGGAAGAAUGAGAUCAUGGAAGCAUAUUAUGCCCUAAAUCACACUCAAGAAAUUUGAACUGAAACAUUAGUCAAGUUGCCAGGAAUUUUAUUUCAAAAAAGGCCUUUUAUUUUAUUGAUCUAAUUUUUUCUACAGAAAAGCCUCAAAGUUAAUACAUUUGUCAAUCAUGGCUGGUGCGCAACGAUCCUAAUUGUCCUGGUUCUUGUACAUAGAUUUUUCUCACUUUGGAAUUGAUGGCAUUAGAAUAGUUUCAUUGUGGAUUCUUUUUUCUCAUUGUCAGGGUGCCUUUGAACCCUAUUCCAGCUUGGGCAUUGACUGAUCAAUUCACAAGCAGUGGUUUGUCUCCCAGCUUCCACUGUUGCCAUUUUUAUCUGUCCUUCAAAAGUGUAAUCAAUUUAUAACAAAAUAGAAAAUUUCUGUUUAGAGAAACCAUGUCUUUAGUCAUUGGUAUGCAGAACUUGAUGCAACAAGUGUGUUGGGCUACAGUGUUUUUUCUUUUAUUCCCCCUAAUGUGUUGAUGAUAAAACUCUGUUGAAGUUAUCCUCAUAAAUGAUAUAAGCUGCGUAUUUCCAUGUGAAAUUGAUUCAUUAAUUGCUUGUGCAAAAU
rnacentral:misc_RNA from 1 species